rnacentral:rRNA from 1 species
UACGUAGGGUGCAAGCGUUGUCCGGAAUUAUUGGGCGUAAAGAGCUCGUAGGCGGUCUGUCACGUCGGCUGUGAAAACCCGAGGCUCAACCUCGGGCCUGCAGUCGAUACGGGCAAACUAGAGUACUGCAGGGGAGACUGGAAUUCCUGGUGUAGCGGUGAAAUGCGCAGAUAUCAGGAGGAACACCGGUGGCGAAGGCGGGUCUCUGGGCAGUAACUGACGCUGAGGAGCGAAAAGCGUGGGGGAGCGAACAGG